GACGAACGCUGGCGGCGUGCUUAACACAUGCAAGUCGAACGGAAAGGCCCUGCUUUUGUGGGGUGCUCGAGUGGCGAACGGGUGAGUAACACGUGAGUAACCUGCCCUUGACUUUGGGAUAACUUCAGGAAACUGGGGCUAAUACCGGAUAGGAGCUCCUGCUGCAUGGUGGGGGUUGGAAAGUUUCGGCGGUUGGGGAUGGACUCGCGGCUUAUCAGCUUGUUGGUGGGGUAGUGGCUUACCAAGGCUUUGACGGGUAGCCGGCCUGAGAGGGUGACCGGCCACAUGGGGACUGAGAUACGGCCCAGACUCCUACGGGAGGCAGCAGUGGGGAAUAUUGCACAAUGGGCGGAAGCCAGAUGCAGCAACGCCGCGUGCGGGAUGACGGCCUUCGGGUUGUAAACCGCUUUCGCCUGUGACAAAGCGUGAGUGACGGUAAUGGGUAAAGAAGCACCGGCUAACUACGUG
rnacentral:rRNA from 1 species